UGGCGCGCGUGGUUGACGCGGGGAGCGCGUCGGCGGCGGCGGGCGCCGUGGGGCGGCGGAGGCGGUCAGACCGGAGAUGGCGGCGAGGUGGAGCAGCGAGAAUGUGGUGGUGGAGUUUAGGGACUCCCAGGCAACUGCAAUGUCUGUAGAUUGUCUUGGGCAGCAUGCAGUGCUUUCUGGCCGCCGAUUCCUGUACAUGGUGAAUCUGGAUGCCCCCUCUGAAGGUCACCGCAAGAUCUCCCGUCAGAGCAAAUGGGAUAUUGGGGCCGUGCAGUGGAAUCCACAUGACAGCUACGCACACUAUUUUGCAGCUUCGAGCAACCAGCGGGUCGAUCUUUACAAGUGGAAAGAUGGCAGUGGGGAAGUUGGCACAGCAUUGCAGGGGCAUACCAGGGUGAUCAGUGACUUGGAUUGGGCUGUAUUCGAGCCAGACUUGCUGGUUACCAGUUCUGUGGACACCUACAUCUACAUUUGGGAUAUCAAAGAUACAAGGAAACCUACUGUUGCACUGUCUGCUGUAGCGGGUGCCUCACAGGUGAAAUGGAAUAAGAAGAAUGCCCACUGUCUCGCCACCAGUCAUGAUGGGGAUGUUCGGAUAUGGGACAAACGGAAACCUAGCACUGCAGUGGAAUACCUUGCUGCCCACCUCUCUAAAAUUCAUGGGCUGGAUUGGCACCCAGACAGUGAACACGUCUUAGCCACCUCAAGUCAGGACAACUCUGUCAAGUUCUGGGAUUACCGCCAGCCUCGAAAAUACCUCAAUAUCCUUCCUUGCCAGGUGCCUGUCUGGAAGGCCAGAUACACUCCUUUCAGCAAUGGGUUAGUGACUGUGAUGGUUCCUCAACUUAGGAGGGAAAAUAGCCUCCUUCUCUGGAAUGUCUUUGACUUGAACACACCAGUGCACACUUUUGUGGGACAUGACGAUGUGGUGCUGGAGUUUCAAUGGAGGAAACAAAAGGAAGGGUCCAAGGAUUACCAGCUGGUCACCUGGUCCCGGGAUCAAACCCUGCGGAUGUGGCGAGUGGAUUCGCAGCUGCAGAGGCUCUGUGCAAAUGAUAUCCUGGAUGGUGUUGACGAGUUCAUUGAGAGUAUUUCUCUUCUACCAGAACCAGAGAAGACCCUCCACACCCAAGAUUCAGAUCCCCAGCCUAGCUCAGGCCACGGGGAGGAGGAAGCUUCAAAGGAAGACUCACCUAACAACCUCCUGAUGGGGAAGAAAUCGGAACAGUUGGGGUUACCCCAGACGCUACAACAAGAAUUCUCCCUGAUCAACGUGCAGAUCCGGAAUGUUAAUGUCGAGAUGGAUGCUGUCGAUAGAAGUUGCACAGUAUCUGUUCACUGCAGUAACCAUCGAGUCAAAAUGCUGGUGAAGUUCCCGGCCCAGUACCCUAAUAAUGCUGCACCUUCUUUCCAGUUUAUUAACCCUACAACUAUUACAUCCACCAUGAAAGCAAAACUUCUAAAGAUUCUAAAAGACACCUCCCUGCAGAAGGUGAAACGUAACCAGAGUUGUUUGGAGCCCUGCUUGCGCCAGCUUGUCUCCUGCCUCGAAUCCUUUGUGAACCAAGAAGACAGCACGUCCAGCAAUCCCUAUGCUCUCCCAAACACUGUUACUCCACCCUUACCUACCUUUGCCCGGGUGACCAGUGCCUAUGGAUCCUACCAAGAUGCCAACAUCCCCUUUCCUCGGACCUCAGGAGCCAGGUUCUGUGGAGCAGGUUACCUGGUGUAUUUCACAAGACCUAUGACAAUGCAUCGGGCAGUUUCUCCGACAGAGCCUACUCCUAGGUCCCUGUCAGCCUUGUCUGCCUAUCAUAGUGGUUUGAUCACACCAAUGAAAAUCCGCACAGAAGCUCCUGGUAACCUACGCUUGUACAGUGGGAGCCCCACUCGGAGUGAGAAGGAGCAGGUCUCAAUCAGCUCCUUCUACUAUAAGGAACGGAUGUCUCCUCGCUCUGCCCGGCGACGUUGGUCCAUACAAGCAAUUAACGACUUCCCGAAAUCACGGAGAUGGAAAAGCAAACGGGAGGGUACAGACUCUGGGAACCGCCCAAUCAAAGCUGCUGGAAAAGUUAUAAUCCAGGAUAUUGCCUGCCUGCUGCCUGUGCACAAGUCACUAGGAGAACUCUACAUACUGAAUGUUAACGACAUUCAGGAAACCUGUCAGAAGAAUGCUGCCUCGGCCUUGCUUGUGGGACGCAAGGAUCUUGUCCAGGUUUGGUCACUGGCUACUGUAGCUACUGAUCUUUGCCUGGGCCCAAAAUCUGAUCCAGAUUUGGAAACACCGUGGGCCCGACAUCCAUUUGGACGACAACUAUUGGAGUCCCUGCUGGCCCAUUACUGUCAGCUCCGGGAUGUCCAGACACUAGCCAUGCUUUGCAGUGUGUUUGAAGCACAGUCCAGGCCACAGGGAAUCCUGAACCCCUUUGGACUCUUUCCUAAUCGCUCUUCUAAUCUUGUGUCCCACAGCCGCUAUCCUAGCUUUACUUCCUCUGGCUCUUGCUCAAGUAUGUCAGACCCAGGACUCAACACUGGUGGAUGGAAUAUAGGAUGUGCUGGGAAUGUCCCCCACUUCAGGAAACAGAGCAGGCAGGACUCCUCAGAGCUCUCGGGAUGCCUGGAUGCUGUCUGCAAGCUGUCUGAUCCGCUUGGACUGUGAAGAAGAGGAAGAGGAAGAAAUAUCAUCAGCCCCAGGGAAGUCCUGACCUCAGGUCUCAGGCAAGGGAGAAGGCUAGUAUGCUUCUCCCUCCCCUCAAAAUACCUUGGCUUCAAGGACCAGUUUCACAUUUAAAGGAGCAAACACGUUUUUAAAUGGGGGGGGGACACUCUUAUUAUUUAAUCUAGGGGUUUUUAACCUUUUUUUGUGUCAUGGUCACUUUGAGAGGCAGGCUGGAGGGUUUAGGGACUCUUCAGAAUCAAGUUUCAAAAUGCAUGCAAUCAAAUACACAGCGUUACAAAAGAAAUCAAUUUAUAUUUUUAAAAAAAGGUUAAUUUUUUCCCAUCCAAGUUAAGGAGCCCCUUGACAUCUGUCCAUAGGCUUGGGACAGAUGGAUUCCGUAUUAAGAACCCUUGAUCUAAUCCAAUCCUCUCAUUUGAAAGAUGAGGAAACUGUGACCUGGAGUCAUUAAAAGGAUUGCUUUGAGUUAGCCAUCGCAAAGCUGUGUUUCAAAACCAGCUCCUAGAAUGCCCUGACCAGUGCCCUUUCACCAUACCACACACCGCCUCUUUCUAAUGGGCCACUUCAAUGUCCUUCCUCUUUGGUCCCUUCCUGUUCAGUGGACUAAAUCUGGAGACAAAGACCUACUUUGCCUCUUGUCUCACCAAAACGAGCCGUGAGCAAAUUAUAUUGUCUUUAUUGACCUAAAUGCUUAGUUCAUAUUGACACAGCGGAGUUGUGUUCAGAUAAUGAUCCUGUGGAACAGCGACAGUCACAAUUAUGUCCAGGUCCCUGUUCCAUUAGGAACCAGCUAGGCCAAGCAUUGGCCACUGAGCCCAGAAAAUAGACAUAACCAUUCCUGAUCUUUCUCUUGUCAAAAGUAUAAUGUGAGUCUACAAUGGGACCGUAGAUGGGAAAGUUCUUUGGACACAGAUGUCUGUGUUGUUAUAAUGCAGGAGCCAGGACCCAGCAACUCUAUCCCAAGCCCAUCAGAGGUUGAGCAAGGCUAACAGUCCCUUAGAUAAAGGGGCAUCCAAGUAAGUAACCCCAUCUUAGCCAGGACAUGCUAAGAAAAUAAAUUCCCAGGAUAUCUACCUAGGUGUCACUCCCCAAGCCCUUCCUGAGGCAGAAAUAACAUUACUUACUGGAACAAAGGUGGCCAUUCCUGCCAGAGACAGAGUAGAGCAAGGUGUCUGACAAAUGGUUCUCGUCCCUAGGGCUUCUCUGCCCCUUAUAUCCAUGAAAUUCCAGAGCCCACAAGUAACAAGCUCCACCCAGAUCCAGUUCCAGACAGUCCUUCAACCAUCUCUGCUUCCCACACCCCCUCCCCCAAAAAAUCCCAUGGGAUGGCUAUAUCUCAACUCAGGUUUCCUGGAGCUAGGGCGGCUCAAGCUAGUGGAGACUCAGGUUACGAAAACUGAUGGAAUCAGGACAUCCAUUAUUGAUCCCUCCAUUGUGGGUGAGAUGGACCAAAAUUCCAUCCCCAACUCCCCCUACUUGGGGCGAACAGGAGAAACCAGUCCUGGUAGGGCUAGAAAGGGAGUGAUGUUAAUAUUUGUGAUAGGGGCAUAAACUGUUUCUGUUCUGUGUUAAGUCAACAAAUUCAACGCUGUUCAACAAGCAUUUAAGUGCCUACUACCUCUCAGGCACACUUGAACUCUUGGAGGGCUGCUAGGGACUCUCUUACUCAAUGCCCUUGGUGAGUUCAAGUCAACUUGGCCCAGCUGAGCUCCAUUCCGGAAUGCCAAAAUAAUGAGCAAGUCAGAGACUUCUGAAUGAUUAUGGAGAACCAGAGAGGCCAUGUGGGACUGGAGAAGAGCAAAUAUCCCAUGUCUCCAAAAACAGGAAAAAGAAUGGAAUUUGCAAGCUAUAAGCCAGGAAGCUUGACUUUGGCUCAUAGCAACAUUCUGGAACGUACUAUAGUGAUUACCUAGUAAAAGAAGGAGACAUCAUGAAGAGUCAACAUGGCUUCUUUGAGAACAAGUCAUGCUGGAUGAAGCUUCCUUUCCUUCUUCAGAUAUCUGUAAAGUGCUUUGCAAACUUCAAAGAGCUAUAUUUAAAAAAUGCUAGUUAAUGUUAUCAUUCUUCUUAUCAUUGUAUCAGAGGGAUACUAUAAAUACAGUUUGCCUAGAUUUUAAUAAAACAUUGGACAAAG